rnacentral:rRNA from 1 species
AUCGUAACUCCUACGGGAGGCAGCAGUGGGGAAUUUUGGACAAUGGACGGAAGUCUGACCGAGCAACGCCGCGUGAGUGAAGAAGGUUUUCGGAUCGUAAAGCUCUGUUGUAAGAGAAGAACGAGUGUGAGAGUGGAAAGUUCACACUGUGACGGUAUCUUACCAGAAAGGGACGGCUAACUACGUGCCAGCAGCCGCGGUAAUACGUAGGUCCCGAGCGUUGUCCGGAUUUAUUGGGCGUAAAGCGAGCGCAGGCGGUUAGAUAAGUCUGAAGUUAAAGGCUGUGGCUUAACUAUAGUAGGCUUUGGAAACUGUUUAACUUGAGUGCAAGAGGGGAGAGUGGAAUUCCAUGUGUAGCGGUGAAAUGCGUAGAUAUAUGGAGGAACACCGGUGGCGAAAGCGGCUCUCUGGCUUGUAACUGACGCUGAGGCUCGAAAGCGUGGGGAGCAAACAGGAUUAGAAACCCUGGUAGUCCUAGAGC